rnacentral:rRNA from 1 species
UACGAAGGGGGCUAGCGUUGCUCGGAAUUACUGGGCGUAAAGGGCGCGUAGGCGGCUUGGCAAGUCCGUCAUGAAAUGUACCGGUUCAACCGGGGCGACUGUGUCGGAAACUGCCUGGCUUGAGGUCGAGGGAGGAGAGUGGAAUUCCUGGUGUAGCGGUGAAAUGCGUAGAUAUCAGGAAGAACACCAAUGGCGAAAGCAGCUCUCUGGGACGGUACUGACGCUGAGACGCGAAAGCGUGGGGAGCGAACAGG